CCAAGAUGGCGGCCAAUGUGAAAUGUCAGGAUUUUUGGAUUUAGAGUGAUUUAGCCCUUUUUGAAUAUUUGUAUACUAAUUUACUAGUUUGGGAAUGGGUCUCGUAGGAAAAGUCUUGGUAUUAGUUGGAUUGAUGAUAAUAAUUCACGCGGGAUAUUCGUCAGAGCAAUGUAAGUGUGAAAAAGUACAUAGAGACAGAGUGUCAGAUUUUGACAUUUUCUGGCACAUUUUCUACUGUUGACUAACUUUUGUUCUUGUAUCAAGCAGUAACAUGUAACGUUUAUUCAAUAUUUCAUUGCUGUUUGUAGAUAGAACAUAUUUGAAGCUUAUUGAAGAAGAAUUCACUUCCCUGCCAAAAGAUGU